AGCGAACGCUGGCGGCAGGCCUAACACAUGCAAGUCGAACGGAUCCUUCGGGAUUAGUGGCGGACGGGUGAGUAACACGUGGGAACGUGCCCUUUGGUUCGGAACAACUCAGGGAAACUUGAGCUAAUACCGGAUGUGCCCUUCGGGGGAAAGAUUUAUCGCCAUUGGAGCGGCCCGCGUCUGAUUAGCUAGUUGGUGAGGUAAAGGCUCACCAAGGCGACGAUCAGUAGCUGGUCUGAGAGGAUGAUCAGCCACAUUGGGACUGAGACACGGCCCAAACUCCUACGGGAGGCAGCUGUGGGGAAUCUUGCGCAAUGGGCGAAAGCCUGACGCAGCCAUGCCGCGUGAAUGAUGAAGGUCUUAGGAUUGUAAAAUUCUUUCACCGGGGACGAUAAUGACGGUACCCGGAGAAGAAGCCCCGGCCAACUUCGUGCCAGCCGCCGCUGUAAGAC
rnacentral:rRNA from 1 species